rnacentral:rRNA from 1 species
UGGGGGAUAUUGCACAAUGGGCGAAAGCCUGAUGCAGCGACGCCGCGUGGGGGAUGAAGGCUUUCGGGUUGUAAACCUCUUUCGCUAUCGAACAAGGCCCGCUUAGGGUGGGUUGAGGGUAGGUGGAGAAGAAGCGCCGGCUAACUACGUGCCAGCAGCCGCGGUAAUACGUAGGGCGCGAGCGUUGUCCGGAAUUAUUGGGCGUAAAGGGCUUGUAGGCGGCUUGUUGCGCCUGCUGUGACAACGCGGGGCUUAACUUCGCGCGUGCAGUGGGUACGGGCAGGCUUGAGUGUGGUAGGGGUGACUGGAAUUCCAGGUGUAGCGGUGGAAUGCGCAGAUAUCUGGAGGAACACCGAUGGCGAAGGCAGGUCACUGGGCCAUUACUGACGCUGAGGAGCGAAAGAAUGGGUAGCGAACAGG